rnacentral:lncRNA from 1 species
GUAAGGCACUUGAUGAAUUGAUGGAUCUCCUUCGGACUUAAGGUGAAGUAAGAAGGGGGCCAACAAUUCUCCUCCUUCUUGUUGACUUUUCUUGGCCUCAUCGACACUAGUAGGACACAGGUUCCUCGCGGGAAGAACUUUAUUACAUAGAUACUUCAAAUGCUCAUCGAGGCUUUUGUUUGUCCAUUGUUUUUGGCCUUCGUCUUUAGAAGUUCGAGCACGAAACUCAAGCGGCUAACCUCGGGAUCACAACCGUCAUAUGAUGGAGUCUUCGAGUCUACUUCAAGUUGCGCCAGCUUGGCCUCCUCUCCAGAAGCAACUCUAUCAU